GUAGAUCGAUCUAGUACGAGUUCACGGGUGGGAAGUCACGGGUUUGACUGCCGUUCCAGUGCACUUUCACCGGUAGAAGGUUGUAAAAACACGAGUUACAGGCUGCCUGGAACGCAUAGGGUCGUGAGUCGUGGUUUUGAAGUCGUAACUCACGGGUUUAAAAACCUGCCUGGAACGCACCAUAAGGACUGAGAGAAGAGGAUAACAGUACAGCGGGGUUUUAGAAGCCCAUCAGAGUGAUUUUCUGAGAUCUUUCACAUGCUGUAUGGUCAGCGAAUGGAUGGAUUAUCCAGUCAUGGUACAUAAUGAAAGACUUGAGUGAGUUAGAAGAAACUGAGCGACUCUUCAGAGUGAAGAUGUUAUGAUGCAGUUAUGUCAAAGCACUCGUUUCGGCUGGACAGAUUGGAACAGACCUGAAUGGGAAGAUGGCAGAGCUAAGACUGGCAAUGUCCAGGAAAAAUGUUAACUAAAAAUGAGUGUGUUUUUCCCCAGCGAGUGAGUUUGGGAAUGUUUUAAAUGUGCCUAGAAGUUUGAAAAUGUAAUACUGAGGGAAAAAAGUGAGCGCUUUGAAAAGGCUUUAAAAAGAAAAAAAGUCUGAUGUUGAUGUUAAAUGAAGUUAAAGUUUUUACUUGAAAAGUUUGUACUUGUUUGUACUUGUCAAGUCUGUGCUGAAAAAAAUGCAGUAAAGUUUGUAUUUGAAAAGACUUG